rnacentral:rRNA from 1 species
UACAGAGGUCCCAAGCGUUGUUCGGAUUCAUUGGGCGUAAAGGGUGCGUAGGUGGCGGGGUAAGUUGGAUGUGAAAUCCUGGGGCUCAACCCUAGAACUGCAUUCAAUACUGCCUUGCUGGAGUACUGGAGAGGAGAUUGGAAUUUACGGUGUAGCAGUGAAAUGCGUAGAUAUCGUAAGGAAGACCGGUGGCGAAGGCGGAUCUCUGGACAGUUACUGACACUGAGGCACGAAGGCCAGGGAGCAAACGGG